AGUGUGCCCCAUUGGAUGGUAGUGUUCCUUUUCUCGUUGAGAAGAGCUCAGCACCUCUAAUUUAUAUCUGAGAAUUUGACUUUUAGGCCAAUUUAAAAUUAAAAUUAUAUCGAAAUUAAUAUGAAUUUGAUCCUUUUCUUUCUCUUUUAAAAUCGGAUUGAAAUUUAUUCGUUUGGUUUAAUUCUUAUAAAGAUUAUUAUUUUUUUUUAACAAAGAAAAUGAAAAUUGUUGGAUGGGAUUAAAAUUGGACCAAUUUGUAUACCUCUUCUAGUUUGAUCCCCUUCAUCAUAGAUCCCAUUUUUAACAUGAAGAGCAACAGAGUUGGGAACCAGAAGAAAGAUAGACACCCAAGGAUUUGUGUGAUUUUGAGAUUUCAACUUUCUCUGCAAAACCUUACUUGCAAGCUCAUCCAAUAGCAUUAGCAUCAUCCACUGCAUCUUUUAAGUUUUCAUUAACCAGUUCUGCAGUGCUCCUUAACUUGCUGCUCCUCUGCAUCUUCAAGCACUGCUGCAAUUUUACUCAACAGUAAUCUCCAGCUUUCCUAGCUCCUUCUCAGUCCUUAGCACCCAACCACAACUCAUACUCAUCAAGCUUUGGAGAAGUUUACUCAUCAACCAAAACCUGCACACAAGCAGUUAGAACUAUAUCUGCCAUUUCCAGAAAUUAUUUAACAGAAGCUCACAGAACACAAGAUUGCUGCUUUUGGUAGAUGAAAAUAAUUACUCUUUGAAGUUUGAACUGCAACAGCAGCAAUUGAUCCUUUCCAAACCAAUCCAUUCCACGCAAGAAAGACUUUGUCUUUGCCUUGAAUACAACUCAACCCAACUUUGACUUCACCUUGUGAAGGAAGAACAAAACAAUUAUUAUUUGAAGUUUGAAUUGCGACAGUGGGCCGUGGGAAUUGAUCUUUUCCAAGUCAAUCCAUUCCAGAUAAGAAAGAAUUUGUCUUUGCCUUCAAUACAACUCAACCCGACUAUGACUUCACCUUGUGGUAGAUUAACAAAAUGUCCAUGGAAGGAACUAGCAAAAACAGAUUUAGCUAGGCCCUAGAUGUUAAAUGAAGGGGGAAAAGAAUCCAAACACUCAAUUUGAGUUAGUAGCAUGCUACUGUGGAUUUACUAUCUAUAACCAUCACAAUCUCAUCAUCAUCACAAAAACACAGGUUCUUGCCUGUCUUCAGUGAAUGUUGCACAGGCGCAAAUAACAGAAGCAUGAUUCAUACUGCAUUAGAUAUAUAUCUUUGGCUUGUGAGGAGCAAGAGCUCAUAUUGUUGCAAUUAUAAAACCAAAGAUUUCUCUACUAUUCGAUCAACACCCAUUUGCAUUUUGCACCAAUUAUCAUUUUCCAGAAUGUGAAACAUUUUCAAAAAGAGAAAGAAACAUAGAAUCAUGCAAAAAUAUGGGGAAAAUUUGUUCUUUUUUUUUUUUUUAUGGCCAAUACUACUUCCCAUAAAUACCCUUAUAACAGAAACGAAAAUUUAGUAAUAUGGAACAAUCUUGAGGGCAUAUCAGGAAUCACAAUGUAAUGAGGCAGCAGAGCAACUAUUUGAAGAAAAAACCCUAACACAGAAGAACUCAUUACUUGAUCUUAUCUGAGCAAGGAAAGGACUCUCUCUUUGAGGAUAGCAUCUCUUUUUCGACUCUCAGUUGAGCCACCCUCCCAUAUUCUAUGGCCGCUGGCGGCUACACUGAGAAAAGAUAAAGUAAUGAUGAAGAAAGCUUCCAGAGAGAAAGAACACCCGCUCUGCGUUCUGCUCCCCUGUUCAAGAUCCAAUAUUCGACCAGUGAACGUGAAUCCGAUUUCUAGAUGGAGAAAAGACAGAUUUGGGCUUGGCGAUGACAAACAAGGCAGGCCGCAACCCAACUACAAGAGCUCUGUAAAUGGUUUAGUUUCAAACGACAGGUCGUAGACGCAUAUAACAAUCUUGCACUUAGGAAAUCAAAUGAUAGAUUGGUGCUCUUACAAGUGUUGUUUUUGGUAUUGUUGUUGAAGAACUUCAAAAUAGCUGUUUAACAUAAUAUAAUUGUGGUUACUUGAUUGAA